rnacentral:rRNA from 1 species
GUGCGUAACGCGUAUGCAAUCUGCCUUCCACAGAGGGAUAGCCCAGAGAAAUUUGGAUUAAUACCUCAUAGUAUUAUAGAGUGGCAUCACUUUAUAAUUAAAGUCACAACGGUGGAAGAUGAGCAUGCGUCCCAUUAGCUAGUUGGCAAGGUAACGGCUUACCAAGGCGACGAUGGGUAGGGGUCCUGAGAGGGAGAUCCCCCACACUGGUACUGAGACACGGACCAGACUCCUACGGGAGGCAGCAGUGAGGAAUAUUGGUCAAUGGGCGCAAGCCUGAACCAGCCAUGCCGCGUGCAGGAUGACGGUCCUAUGGAUUGUAAACUGCUUUUGUACGGGAAGAAACACUCCCUCGUGAGGGAGCUUGACGGUACCGUAAGAAUAAGGAUCGGCUAACUCCGUGCCAGCAGCCGCGGUAAUACGGAGGAUCCGAGCGUUAUCCGGAAUCAUUGGGUUUAAAGGGUCCGUAGGCGGUCUUGUAAGUCAGUGGUGAAAGCCCAUCGCUCAACGGUGGAACGGCCAUUGAUACUGCUGGACUUGAAUUACUGGGAAGCAACUAGAAUAUGUAGUGUAGCGGUGAAAUGCUUAGAGAUUACAUGGAAUACCAAUUGCGAAGGCAGGUUGCUACCGGUGGAUUGACGCUGAUGGACGAAAGCGUGGGUAGCGAACAGGAUUAGAUACCCUGGUAGUCCACGCCGUAAACGAUGGAUACUAGCUGUUGGGGGCGACCUCAGUGGCUAAGCGAAAGUGAUAAGUAUCCCACCUGGGGAGUACGAACGCAAGUUUGAAACUCAAAGGAAUUGACGGGGGCCCGCACAAGCGGUGGAGCAUGUGGUUUAAUUCGAUGAUACGCGAGGAACCUUACCAAGGCUUAAAUGCAGACUGACCGAUUUGGAACAGAUCUUUCGCAAGACAGUUUACAAGGUGCUGCAUGGUUGUCGUCAGCUCGUGCCGUGAGGUGUCAGGUUAAGUCCUAUAACGAGCGCAACCCCUGUUGUUAGUUGCCAGCGAGUCAUGUCGGGAACUCUAGCAAGACUGCCAGUGCAAACUGUGAGGAAGGUGGGGAUGACGUCAAAUCAUCACGGCCCUUACGCCUUGGGCUACACACGUGCUACAAUGGCCGGUACAGAGAGCAGCCACCCCGCGAGGGGGAGCGAAUCUACAAAGCCGGUCACAGUUCGGAUCGGAGUCUGCAACUCGACUCCGUGAAGCUGGAAUCGCUAGUAA